rnacentral:tRNA from 1 species
GGUGGCUCAGUGGUAGAGCACUUGCCUUGCAUGCAUAAGGCCCUGGGUUCGAAAUUCCUCAGCACCA